GACGAACGCUGGCGGCGUGCUUAACACAUGCAAGUCGAACGGAAAGGCCCUGCUUUUUUGGGGUUCUCGAUUGGCGAACGGGUGAGUAACACGUGAGUAACCGGCCCUUGACUUUGGGAUAACUUCAGGAAACUGGGGCUAAUACCGGAUAGGAGCUGCUGCUGCAGGGUGGGCGGUGGAAAGUUUCGGCGGUUGGGGAUGGACUCGCGGCUUAUCAGCUUGUUGGUGGGGUAGUGGCUGACCAAGGCUUUGACGGGUAGGCGGCCUGAGAGGGUGACCGGCGACAUUGGGACUGAGAUACGGCCCAGAGGCCUACGGGAGGCAGCAGUGGGGAAUAUUGCACAAUGGGCGGAAGCCUGAUGAAGCAACGCCGCGUGCGGGAUGACGGCCUUCGGGUUGUAAACCGCUUUCGCCUGUGACGAAGCGUGAGUGACGGUAAUGGGUAAAGAAGCACCGGCUAACUACGUG
rnacentral:rRNA from 1 species